rnacentral:rRNA from 1 species
UACGUAGGGGCCAAACGUUGUCCGGAUUUAUUGGGCGUAAAGGGCUCGUAGGCGGUUCAACAAGUCGGUCGUGAAAACCCGGGGCUCAACCCCGGGACGCCGGUCGAAACUGUUGUGACUAGGGUCCGGUAGAGGUGAGUGGAAUUCUCGGUGUAGCGGUGGAAUGCGCAGAUAUCGAGAGGAACACCAGUAGCGAAGGCGGCUCACUGGGCCGGUACCGACGCUGAGGAGCGAAAGCAUGGGGAGCAAACAGGAUUAGAUACCCCCGUA